AGAAUCAACGCUGGCGGCGUGCCUAACACAUGCAAGUCGAACGAGAAAGGGACUUCGGUCCUGAGUACAGUGGCGCACGGGUGAGUAACACGUGACUAACCUACCCUGGAGUGGGGAAUAACUGAGGGAACCUUAGCUAAUACCGCAUAAUACCUACGGGUCAAAGGAGCAAUUCGCUUCAGGAGGGGUCGCGGCCGAUUAGCUAGUUGGCGGGUAAUGGCCCACCAAGGCAAUGAUCGGUA
rnacentral:rRNA from 1 species